AGUGAACGCUGGCGGUAGGCCUAACACAUGCAAGUCGAACGGCAGCACAGUAAGAGCUUGCUCUUACGGGUGGCGAGUGGCGGACGGGUGAGGAAUACAUCGGAAUCUACUUUUUCGGGGGGGAUAACGUAGGGAAACUUACGCUAAUACCGCAUACGACCUACGGGUGAAAGCAGGGGAUCUUCGGACCUUGCGCGAUUGAAUGAGCCGAUGUCGGAUUAGCUAGUUGGCGGGGUAAAGGCCCACCAAGGCGACGAUCCGUAGCUGGUCUGAGAGGAUGAUCGGCCACACUGGAACUGGGACACGGUCCAGACUCCUACGGGAGGCAGCAGUGGGGAAUAUUGGACAAUGGGCGCAAGCCUGAUCCAGCCAUACCGCGUGGGUGAAGAAGGCCUUCGGGUUGUAAAGCCCUUUUGUUGGGAAAGAAAAGCAGCAGGUUAAUACCCCGCUGUUCUGACGGUACCCAAAGAAUAAGCACCGGCUAACUUCGUG
rnacentral:rRNA from 1 species